rnacentral:rRNA from 1 species
AUGGCGGACGAUGGAGGAGGUGGCGGCGAUGAGCACCUUCUCCAGAUAACUGUUGGGGGCGCCGGGCAAGGCAAGGUCGACCCGCCGGAGAAGCGGCUGAAUCGCUUCGUUCGUGCCGUCGUGCUGAUCGAGAGAGUGGGCAAUGCGCUUGGUACGCUGGCAUUCACGUGGGCCACCGUGGUCCUGCUCGGCGGCUACGCCAGUAAACUCCACUCCGAUGAUGAUUUUAGUUUCGGGACAAUCUUGAUUCUCCUAGAGGCCGCAAGCCAGAUUGUUUACAAUAGCAUGAGAAAUAAAGUCAUGGAUAUUAGAUUCCUAGAACAAACACAUGUUGCAAGAGAAAACAUAGACAUGGGUGUCGUGACUGUUGGGGCUGGUGCAUCAAGUACAAGUGCAGCUAUGGUACAAACACAUGAAAUUGGUGGCCAAGCCGUGGCACUCCAUGGCUCAGUGAACGGACAACCAGGGAAGUCCAAAGGCAGCAGUUGCUGCAACCUAGCAAGCGGGGUGGGAUGCAACUCAGAAACAGAAAGCAGCAGCGCGGAAGGAGUUUCAUGCGGAGGCAUGCCUGGAGGUGAUGGGCUUGGCUCAUUGGCUUGUACGCAGGAAAGGCAGCAACCGCCUAAGCAGGCUACGAGACCCCUCAUGCAUGCCCACGCGCUAAGGAUGAGCAUGCAUUAG